rnacentral:rRNA from 1 species
GGUUAAGCGACUAAGCGUACACGGUGGAUGCCCUGGCAGUCAGAGGCGAUGAAGGGCGUGCUAAUCUGCGAUAAGCGCCGGUAAGGUGAUAUGAACCGUUAUAACCGGCGAUACCCGAAUGGGGAAACCCAGUGUGAUUCGUCACACUAUCAUUAACUGAAUCCAUAGGUUAAUGAGGCGAACCGGGGGAACUGAAACAUCUAAGUACCCCGAGGAAAAGAAAUCAACCGAGAUUCCCCCAGUAGCGGCGAGCGAACGGGGAGGAGCCCAGAGCCUGAAUCAGCAUGUGUGUUAGUGGAAGCGUCUGGAAAGGCGCGCGAUACAGGGUGACAGCCCCGUACACAAAAGCGCAUGUGCUGUGAGCUCGAUGAGUAGGGCGGGACACGUGGUAUCCUGUCUGAAUAUGGGGGGACCAUCCUCCAAGGCUAAAUACUCCUGACUGACCGAUAGUGAACCAGUACCGUGAGGGAAAGGCGAAAAGAACCCCGGUGAGGGGAGUGAAAAAGAACCUGAAACCGUGUACGUACAAGCAGUGGGAGCCCCACCACUAAGCCAGUGGUGAACUCCACAUACGCAUCCUUUGCUGAGGAUACGGUUAACGGAGCGAAAGCGACGUUCAACCGCAAAACAAGCAGAGGGGGCUUAGUGGUGGGGUGACUGCGUACCUUUUGUAUAAUGGGUCAGCGACUUAUAUUCUGUAGCAAGGUUAACCGUAUAGGGGAGCCGGAGGGAAACCGAGUCUUAACCGGGCGUUAAGUUGCAGGGUAUAGACCCGAAACCCGGUGAUCUAGCCAUGGGCAGGUUGAAGGUUGGGUAACACUAACUGGAGGACCGAACCGACUAAUGUUGAAAAAUUAGCGGAUGACCUGUGGCUGGGGGUGAAAGGCCAAUCAAACCGGGAGAUAGCUGGUUCUCCCCGAAAGCUAUUUAGGUAGCGCCUCGUGAAUUCAUCUCCGGGGGUAGAGCACUGUUUCGGCUAGGGGGUCAUCCCGACUUACCAACCCGAUGCAAACUGCGAAUACCGGAGAAUGUUAUCACGGGAGACACACGGCGGGUGCUAACGUCCGUCGUGAAGAGGGAAACAACCCAGACCGCCAGCUAAGGUCCCAAAGUCAUGGUUAAGUGGGAAACGAUGUGGGAAGGCCCAGACAGCCAGGAUGUUGGCUUAGAAGCAGCCAUCAUUUAAAGAAAGCGUAAUAGCUCACUGGUCGAGUCGGCCUGCGCGGAAGAUGUAACGGGGCUAAACCAUGCACCGAAGCUGCGGCAGCGACACUCAGGUGUUGUUGGGUAGGGGAGCGUUCUGUAAGCCUGCGAAGGUGGCCUGUGAGGGUUGCUGGAGGUAUCAGAAGUGCGAAUGCUGACAUAAGUAACGAUAAAGCGGGUGAAAAGCCCGCUCGCCGGAAGACCAAGGGUUCCUGUCCAACGUUAAUCGGGGCAGGGUGAGUCGACCCCUAAGGCGAGGCCGAAAGGCGUAGUCGAUGGGAAACGGGUUAAUAUUCCCGUACUUGGUGUUACUGCGAAGGGGGGACGGAGAAGGCUAUGUUGGCCGGGCGACGGUUGUCCCGGUUUAAGCGUGUAGGUGUGUGUUCCAGGUAAAUCCGGUUCACUUUAACACUGAGGCGUGAUGACGAGGCACUACGGUGCUGAAGCAACAAAUGCCCUGCUUCCAGGAAAAGCCUCUAAGCAUCAGGUAACAUCAAAUCGUACCCCAAACCGACACAGGUGGUCAGGUAGAGAAUACCAAGGCGCUUGAGAGAACUCGGGUGAAGGAACUAGGCAAAAUGGUGCCGUAACUUCGGGAGAAGGCACGCUGACACGUAGGUGAAGUGAUUUACUCAUGGAGCUGAAGUCAGUCGAAGAUACCAGCUGGCUGCAACUGUUUAUUAAAAACACAGCACUGUGCAAACACGAAAGUGGACGUAUACGGUGUGACGCCUGCCCGGUGCCGGAAGGUUAAUUGAUGGGGUCAGCGCAAGCGAAGCUCCUGAUCGAAGCCCCGGUAAACGGCGGCCGUAACUAUAACGGUCCUAAGGUAGCGAAAUUCCUUGUCGGGUAAGUUCCGACCUGCACGAAUGGCGUAAUGAUGGCCAGGCUGUCUCCACCCGAGACUCAGUGAAAUUGAACUCGCUGUGAAGAUGCAGUGUACCCGCGGCAAGACGGAAAGACCCCGUGAACCUUUACUAUAGCUUGACACUGAACAUUGAGCCUUGAUGUGUAGGAUAGGUGGGAGGCUUUGAAGUGUGGACGCCAGUCUGCAUGGAGCCGACCUUGAAAUACCACCCUUUAAUGUUUGAUGUUCUAACGUGGACCCGUGAUCCGGGUUGCGGACAGUGUCUGGUGGGUAGUUUGACUGGGGCGGUCUCCUCCUAAAGAGUAACGGAGGAGCACGAAGGUUGGCUAAUCCUGGUCGGACAUCAGGAGGUUAGUGCAAUGGCAUAAGCCAGCUUGACUGCGAGCGUGACGGCGCGAGCAGGUGCGAAAGCAGGUCAUAGUGAUCCGGUGGUUCUGAAUGGAAGGGCCAUCGCUCAACGGAUAAAAGGUACUCCGGGGAUAACAGGCUGAUACCGCCCAAGAGUUCAUAUCGACGGCGGUGUUUGGCACCUCGAUGUCGGCUCAUCACAUCCUGGGGCUGAAGUAGGUCCCAAGGGUAUGGCUGUUCGCCAUUUAAAGUGGUACGCGAGCUGGGUUUAGAACGUCGUGAGACAGUUCGGUCCCUAUCUGCCGUGGGCGCUGGAGAACUGAGGGGGGCUGCUCCUAGUACGAGAGGACCGGAGUGGACGCAUCACUGGUGUUCGGGUUGUCAUGCCAAUGGCACUGCCCGGUAGCUAAAUGCGGAAGAGAUAAGUGCUGAAAGCAUCUAAGCACGAAACUUGCCCCGAGAUGAGUUCUCCCUGAGACUUAGAGUCUCCUGAAGGAACGUUGAAGACGACGACGUUGAUAGGCCGGGUGUGUAAGCGCAGCGAUGCGUUGAGCUAACCGGUACUAAUGAACCGUGAGGCUUAACCUU